AUGAUUUUAACUAUAAAGUGAGUGGCGAACGGGUGAGUAACACGUGGGUAACCUGCCCAGAAGUGGGGGAUAACACCUGGAAACAGAUGCUAAUACCGCAUAACAAAAUUAACCGCAUGGUUGAUUUUUAAAAGAUGGCUUCGGCUAUCACUUCUGGAUGGACCCGCGGCGUAUUAGCUAGUUGGUGAGAUAAAGGCUCACCAAGGCAGUGAUACGUAGCCGACCUGAGAGGGUAAUCGGCCACAUUGGGACUGAGACACGGCCCAGACUCCUACGGGAGGCAGCAGUAGGGAAUCUUCCACAAUGGACGCAAGUCUGAUGGAGCAACGCCGCGUGAGUGAUGAAGGCUUUCGGGUCGUAAAACUCUGUUGUUGGAGAAGAACGUGUGUGAGAGUAACUGCUCAUGCAGUGACGGUAUCCAACCAGAAAGCCACGGCUAACUACGUGCCAGCAGCCGCGGUAAUACGUAGGUGGCAAGCGUUAUCCGGAUUUAUUGGGCGUAAAGCGAGCGCAGGCGGUCUUUUAAGUCUAAUGUGAAAGCCUUCGGCUUAACCGAAGAAGUGCAUUGGAAACUGGGAGACUUGAGUGCAGAAGAGGAGAGUGGAACUCCAUGUGUAGCGGUGAAAUGCGUAGAUAUAUGGAAGAACACCAGUGGCGAACGCGGCUCUCUGGUCUGCAACUGACGCUGAGCUCGAAAGCAUGGGUAGCGAACAGGAUUAGA
rnacentral:rRNA from 1 species